CCGGUAUAAAAGUCGGACACCGUUCAGUAAAUCUCUGUAGAGUGUAGUACUCGACAGAUUUUGAAUAGAUCUAAUCAACAUGUUCGGCAAGGGGCUUGUUUUACUUGCGGCCCUCGCAUUGACGUUCGCCAUUCCCCGCCCCGGUCCUGAA